rnacentral:rRNA from 1 species
CUAGUAAUGGCAGGUCAGCAUACUGCCGUGAAUACGUUCCCGGGCCUUGUACACACCGCCCGUCACACCAUGAGAGUUGGGAAUACCCGAAGCCUGUGAGCUAACUAUACAAGGCAGCAGUCGAAGGUAGAAUCAAUGAUUGGGGUGAAGUCGUAACAAGGUACC